CUGGUCUCAGCCUUGUUUGUACACCGGCUCAUUGACUCUUCAUAAUAACUCCAUUAGCAAGGACUAUAAUAUGCAGAAAUUUGUGACUACGAUGAGUCCAGAAUUCACUAGGAGGGUGGCAUAUGGAAACGAAUCUCUUCGCUAGGACACAAGAGCAGAAAAAGCCCAGGAUAGCUCAGAAAACUUCCGUCCUGUAAUAUCCAGUAAAACUGGUGACCAUUCACUGGGUGUUUCCUAUGUGCCAGUCACUGUGCUGAAUGCAUACUUCCUUCAAUCCUCACAAAACCUCCAAAAGAUAUGUAUCGUUGCCACCAUUUCACAGGUAAGGAAGCUGAA